GACGAACGCUGGCGGCGUGCUUAACACAUGCAAGUCGAACGGAAAGGCCCUGCUUGCAGGGUACUCGAGUGGCGAACGGGUGAGUAACACGUGGGUGAUCUGCCCUGCACUUCGGGAUAAGCCUGGGAAACUGGGUCUAAUACCGGAUAGGAGCCAUUUUUAGUGUGAUGGUUGGAAAGUUUUUUCGGUGUAGGAUGAGCUCGCGGCCUAUCAGCUUGUUGGUGGGGUAAUGGCCUACCAAGGCGGCGACGGGUAGCCGGCCUGAGAGGGUGGACGGCCACAUUGGGACUGAGAUACGGCCCAGACUCCUACGGGAGGCAGCAGUGGGGAAUAUUGCACAAUGGGCGUAAGCCUGAUGCAGCGACGCCGCGUGGGGGAUGACGGCCUUCGGGUUGUAAACUCCUUUCGCUAGGGACGAAGCUUUUUGUGACGGUACCUAGAUAAGAAGCACCGGCUAACUACGUG
rnacentral:rRNA from 1 species